rfam:Proteiniborus sp. DW1 genome assembly, contig: DW1_contig30
UCCAUCGUGAGGUGGAAUCUGAAGGAAGUCGGUGGCAAAACUCCGGUCUGAGGUACACGAAUCACAUUCGAGGCUUAACCCUGUGGAUGAGGUUGCACAACAAACCAAAGUCCUAAACUAUCCGAAACAGGGAAAGUAAAUGUGGCAGAUAUAUGGAGUGAAAGUUUACGUU